rnacentral:rRNA from 1 species
CCCUUAGAUGUUCCGGGCCGCACGCGCGCUACACUGAUGCAUUCAACGAGCCUAUCCCUGACCGACAGGUCCGGGUAAUCUUUGAAUCUGCAUCGUGACGGGGAUAGAUUAUUGCAAUUAUUAAUCUUCAACGAGGAAUGCCUAGUAGGCGCAAGUCAUCAGCUUGCGUCGAUUACGUCCCUGCCCUUUGUACACACCGCCCGUCGCUCCUACCGAUUGGGUGUGCUGGUGAAAUGUUCGGAUCGGCCGUUUGUCGCGGUUUCCGCGUCAUGUGGCUGAGAAGUUCAUUAAACCCUCCCACCUAGAGGAAGGAGAAGUCGUAACA